rnacentral:lncRNA from 1 species
AGUGGUUUGCUCUUCUGCUGGACACCAACUGCACUGAGUUUGUGAGUUCAACGACCAUAUCAUGAGAACAUGUCAUUGUUUUGAUCCAACUCCUUCCGACCUUUGGCUCUUAAAAUCUUUCCACCUCUUUUCUUUCCAAUAUUCCCUGAGCCUUGAGGGAACUUGAUAUGGUGGGAGCUUCUGUGGCUGAGUUCUCCACAGAGAGUUCAUUCUCAAUACUCGGACUAGUUAUGAAUGUGUAUUACCUACCAUCCACUGUAUGAAGAUGCUCCCCCAAUGACCACCGAGAGCUGUGUUAAUCUAUGAGCUUGUAACUGGUAUUGUUUGAUACUAUAUAUCCAUUUAAGAAAAUAGUAGUUAUGGUUCACUCCCAGGGCUUAUGAGCCUGUCUGCCAUGGUUUUCCUGACCAGAUUUACAAUGCCAGGCAAAAGUUUCCUCUUGUAGUGCAGACCUUAAAUCCACCCAGAAAAUGAUUGGUGAUCCUCAUUACAUUCCUGCCAUUUAUGGCGCACCCAUGAGUACAUCUUGCCAGGGCUUUUGUUAUAUAGCCCUGAGUAGUCACAGUGGAGUGAGAAUAGUCUGCGUAGCAUUAUAAAGGGUAGCUAGCAGGGGUGGAAGUUUCCUGCUAAGUACUGUGCAGGCAGGUCUGUGUGAUUUCUUCAAGUUCUUUGACCUACUUGUGUGGUGUCAUCAGCUAUAGGAUCUUACCAUCACAUUCUGAUGGGUAGCCCUGAGCAAUGAGAAUUGACAACUCUGGUAUCAUCUCUGUGACAUCCUCGACCAACAACUUGAGAGCAAGGUGUCCUACAUCUGGCUCUGGACUUUUUGAGAACUUGUAGCCAAUGGAAGGAGAAUUACCCACCUUGUAACGUUCGUUCUGAACACUUUCCAGGCCGUUCUGGCAUCCGAUGAAUGUGAUUCCUAUGCCCUCUUUCUCUAUCCUGCCAAUGGUCUUCAGUUUUUGGAACUCACCCCAAAGAAUCCUACAGUGUCCAGCUGCAGCUUCCUGCUAAGGUGGGAUUCUGCCAAGGGGAAGCAGAUGACGUGAAGAGAAAAGCCCUGUAUUUCAGCCUGACUAACAGUGAGCAGAUAUGGAGACUUCGAUGGUUUUAAUCUGGAGGAUGCGCUGAAAGAAACUUCCUCAGUAAAGCGUGACUCAAACAAACAAGUCCACCAAGCAAACACAAGUGGUCGGCCAUGCACCACACUGACAAUCUUGCCUUCAGAAAAGUACACGCAUAUGAGACUAGCUGUGCCUCCAUCUACCUGUUUGUUCUGUUGUGCAAGGCUUGUGUCUUCUCGUCAUACGUGUGUCAUCUUCCUUUUACAUUUAGAAAAUUUCACAAUUUUCAUUAUGUUGAAACCACAAGAGAACAUGCAUCUGCCUUCGCCUUUUUUCUGCUGUACAAAAAGAGAACUCCGACCCGUUUCAUUCCUCUCACUGUUUUGUUUUGAGACAGGGUCUCUUGAUUUAGCCCGAGUUGUCCUGAAAUUCUCUGUGCCGAGAAGCCCGGCUUUGACUUGGGUCCAGUGCUAGAGCAACAGUGACUCUUGGCCACUGAUGUGCAUUUCUAGCUUCAGAACCCAUGACUUUUUAUGAUUCUUCAGUGUGAUCCCCACAAUGGCCUCGGGGACCUAUACUGAGACCAUUCUCACGAUGUGACUUCUGUAAACCAUAAAGCAGCCACUGUGUUUUACAAUCUGCUUCCUUUCGUCCUCCCUUCUCCCUUCAGAGAGCCACUUUAGCACCACGACUAGAAGGACAGGAACAACCAGAGCCUCAUCAAAUCCAGCAGGUAAUGAGGUGUGGGAAGUGAGGAAGGCCAGACUCACCUGAGAAGGGACACAAGGAGGGACUCAUUAGGACUCCAUCUGGGACAGGGUCAAAAGGAGCCAUGUAGAAUUUUUAGCUGCACAUAUGAAAAGUUAGCAAAGGCACCCAUGUGAAUGUUAGAUUUAAUUCAACAGAAUCCCAUCUGGUUGGUCACUGUGCCUUACGUGAAAGCCAUGCGUUUCCACUUCCCUAUUGCUUUGGGUGACGAUGGCUGCCAGAAUCCAGGUACAGGAGGCGGAAGGGGUGAGCUGAAAUUGACUUAAGCCCCAGCCUAUCCCCAUAGCUCCCAGGUUAAACAUGAGCCAUUCAUAGUCGAGCAGAGUUGGGCAACCUGAGGCCUAAGGAGAAGUCUUCAACGAAGAUAUUCAGACGUUUUCAUGAUAUUCUCUAAGUUUUUGAAGAUCUCGGGAGAGUUUGUGUAUGUGGGUCACAUCUAUAAAUACUUCUCAUCUGAGAACUUAGAACUAAAAACUGAUAUUAAUCCGAGGAAAAUAAAAAGCCAUAUGCAUUGACAUAUGUGGUGUGCUUUUAUGAGAAGUAACUGUUCUUAUAAGGUGAAAACAUAAUUUAGAGUAAUGAAUGACAUUAUUUUAUAGUUUUCUGUAAUGUCUGGCUUCAAUAGAAUUCAUCUGGAUUCUUGGUGUGUGUGUGUGUGUG